rnacentral:rRNA from 1 species
CCAAUAGCGUAUAUUAAAGUUGUUGCAAUUAAAAAGCUCGUAGUUGAACUUCGGGGUUUACCCAUUGGUCAGGCUUAAUUGUCUGUACUGGUGAGAUGAAUCUCUACCUUCUGAGGAACUUUCAUGCCAUUUAUUUGGUGUGAUGGGAAAUCAGGACUGUUACUUUGAAAAAAUUAGAGUGUUUAAAGCAGGCUAACGUCUGAAUACAUUAGCAUGGAAUAAUGAAAUAGGACGGACUGAUUCUAUUUCGUUGGUUUCUAGGAUCACCGUAAUGAUUAAUAGGGAUAGUUGGGGGCAUUAGUAUUCAAUUGUCAGAGGUGAAAUUCUUGGAUUUAUUGAAGACUAACUACUGCGAAAGCAUUUGCCAAGGAUGUUUUCAUUAAUCAAGAACGAAAGUUAGGGGAUCGAAGACGAUCAGAUACCGUCGUAGUCUUAACCAUAAACUAUGCCGACUAGGGAUCGGACGAAGUUAAUUUUAUAAUGACGCGUUCGGCACCUUACG